ACGAACGCUGGCGGCACGCUUAACACAUGCAAGUCGAACGAGAGAAGAGAAGCUUGCUUUUCUGAUCUAGUGGCGGACGGGUGAGUAACACGUGAGCAAUCUGCCUUUCAGAGGGGGAUACCGAUUGGAAACGAUCGUUAAUACCGCAUAACAUAAUUGAACCGCAUGAUUUGAUUAUCAAAGAUUUAUCGCUGAAAGAUGAGCUCGCGUCUGAUUAGCUAGUUGGUAAGGUAACGGCUUACCAAGGCGACGAUCAGUAGCCGGACUGAGAGGUUGAUCGGCCACAUUGGGACUGAGACACGGCCCAGACUCCUACGGGAGGCAGCAGUGGGGAAUAUUGCACAAUGGAGGAAACUCUGAUGCAGCGAUGCCGCGUGAGGGAAGAAGGUUUUAGGAUUGUAAACCUCUGUCUUCAGGGACGAAAAAAGACGGUACCUGAGGAGGAAGCUCCGGCUAACUACGUGCCAGCAGCCGCGGUAAUACGUAGGGAGCGAGCGUUGUCCGGAAUUACUGGGUGUAAAGGGAGCGUAGGCGGGAUCGCAAGUCAGAUGUGAAAACUAUGGGCUUAACCCAUAAACUGCAUUUGAAACUGUGGUUCUUGAGUGAAGUAGAGGUAAGCGGAAUUCCUAGUGUAGCGGUGAAAUGCGUAGAUAUUAGGAGGAACAUCAGUGGCGAAGGCGGCUUACUGGGCUUUAACUGACGCUGAGGCUCGAAAGCGUGGGGAGCAAACAGGAUUAGAUACCCUGGUAGUCCACGCCGUAAACGAUGAUUACUAGGUGUGGGGGAACUGACCCCUUCCGUGCCGCAGCAAACGCAAUAAGUAAUCCACCUGGGGAGUACGACCGCAAGGUUGAAACUCAAAGGAAUUGACGGGGGCCCGCACAAGCAGUGGAGUAUGUGGAUUAAUUCGAAGCAACGCGAAGAACCUUACCAGGUCUUGACAUCGUAUGCAUAGCUCAGAGAUGAGUGAAAUCUCUUCGGAGACAUAUAGACAGGUGGUGCAUGGUUGUCGUCAGCUCGUGUCGUGAGAUGUUGGGUUAAGUCCCGCAACGAGCGCAACCCUUACUGUUAGUUGCUACGCAAGAGCACUCUAGCAGGACUGCCGUUGACAAAACGGAGGAAGGUGGGGAUGACGUCAAAUCAUCAUGCCCCUUAUGACCUGGGCCUCACACGUACUACAAUGGCUGUCAACAGAGGGAUGCAAAGCCGCGAGGUGGAGCGAACCCCUAAAAGCAGUCUUAGUUCGGAUUGUAGGCUGCAACCCGCCUACAUGAAGUCGGAAUUGCUAGUAAUCGCAGAUCAGCAUGCUGCGGUGAAUACGUUCCCGGGCCUUGUACACACCGCCCGUCACGCCAUGGGAGUCGGUAACACCCGAAGCCUGUAGUCUAACCGCAAGGAGGACGCAGUCGAAGGUGGGAUUGAUGACUGGGGUG
rnacentral:rRNA from 1 species